UACGUAGGGCGCAAGCGUUGUCCGGAAUCAUUGGGCGUAAAGAGCGUGUAGGCGGCCCCGGUAAGUCCGCUGUGAAAGUCGGGGGGCUCAACCCUCGAAUGCCGGUGGAUACUGUCGGGCUAGAGUGCGGAAGAGGCGAGUGGAAUUCCUGGUGUAGCGGUGAAAUGCGCAGAUAUCAGGGAGGAACACCAAUUGCGAAGGCAG
rnacentral:rRNA from 1 species